rnacentral:tRNA from 1 species
GGGUUCGUAGUCUAGCUUGGUUAGUGAUUGGCGCCUUCGGCGUCCGUCGGCUAUGAUUCGAGGUUCGGGACCUCGUGGCCGGAGUUCAAAUCUCCGCGAACCCA